GGGCAAGCGUUGUCCGGAUUCAUUGGGCGUAAAGCGCGCGUAGGUGGAUCGGUAAGUCUGCAUGGAAAGACCCGGGCUCAACUCGGGGAACGGUGUGGAUACUACCGAUCUUGAGGCAAUCAGAGGAUGAUGGGAUUCCCGGUGUAGCGGGGAAAUGCGUAGAUAUCGGGAGGAACACCAGUGGCGAAGGCGAUCAUCUGGGGUUGUUCUGACACUGAGGAGCGAAAGCUAGGGGAGCAAACGGG
rnacentral:rRNA from 1 species